rnacentral:rRNA from 1 species
UACGAGGGGGGCGAGCGUUGUUCGGAAUUAUUGGGCGUAAAGGGUGCGUAGGCGGUUCCGCAAGUCCUGUGUGAAAUCUUCGGGCUCAACUCGAAGUCUGCACGGGAAACUGCGGGGCUUGAGUGUGGGAGAGGUGAGUGGAAUUCCUGGUGUAGCGGUGAAAUGCGCAGAUAUCAGGAGGAACACCAAUGGCGAAGGCAGCUCGCUGGGACGGUACUGACGCUGAGACGCGAAAGCGUGGGGAGCAAACAGG